ensembl:snoRNA
ACGUAAUAAUGUUCAUCAAAUGUCUGACCUGAAAUGAGCAUGUAGACAAAGUUAACAUUGAAGAA